AGAGUUUGAUCAUGGCUCAGAUUGAACGCUGGCGGCAGGCCUAACACAUGCAAGUCGAACGGUAACAGGAAGCAGCUUGCUGCUUCGCUGACGAGUGGCGGACGGGUGAGUAAUGUCUGGGAAACUGCCUGAUGGAGGGGGAUAACUACUGGAAACGGUGGCUAAUACCGCAUAACGUCGCAAGACCAAAGAGGGGGACCUUAGGGCCUCUUGCCAUCAGAUGUGCCCAGAUGGGAUUAGCUUGUUGGUGAGGUAACGGCUCACCAAGGCGACGAUCCCUAGCUGGUCUGAGAGGAUGACCAGCCACACUGGAACUGAGACACGGUCCAGACUCCUACGGGAGGCAGCAGUGGGGAAUAUUGCACAAUGGGCGCAAGCCUGAUGCAGCCAUGCCGCGUGUAUGAAGAAGGCCUUCGGGUUGUAAAGUACUUUCAGCGGGGAGGAAGGUGUUGUGGUUAAUAACCGCAGCAAUUGACGUUACCCGCAGAAGAAGCACCGGCUAACUCCGUGCCAGCAGCCGCGGUAAUACGGAGGGUGCAAGCGUUAAUCGGAAUUACUGGGCGUAAAGCGCACGCAGGCGGUCUGUCAAGUCGGAUGUGAAAUCCCCGGGCUCAACCUGGGAACUGCAUUCGAAACUGGCAGGCUUGAGUCUUGUAGAGGGGGGUAGAAUUCCAGGUGUAGCGGUGAAAUGCGUAGAGAUCUGGAGGAAUACCGGUGGCGAAGGCGGCCCCCUGGACAAAGACUGACGCUCAGGUGCGAAAGCGUGGGGAGCAAACAGGAUUAGAUACCCUGGUAGUCCACGCCGUAAACGAUGUCUACUUGGAGGUUGUGCCCUUGAGGCGUGGCUUCCGGAGCUAACGCGUUAAGUAGACCGCCUGGGGAGUACGGCCGCAAGGUUAAAACUCAAAUGAAUUGACGGGGGCCCGCACAAGCGGUGGAGCAUGUGGUUUAAUUCGAUGCAACGCGAAGAACCUUACCUGGUCUUGACAUCCACGGAAGGUCUCAGAGAUGAGACUGUGCCUUCGGGAACCGUGAGACAGGUGCUGCAUGGCUGUCGUCAGCUCGUGUUGUGAAAUGUUGGGUUAAGUCCCGCAACGAGCGCAACCCUUAUCCUUUGUUGCCAGCGGUCCGGCCGGGAACUCAAAGGAGACUGCCAGUGAUAAACUGGAGGAAGGUGGGGAUGACGUCAAGUCAUCAUGGCCCUUACGACCAGGGCUACACACGUGCUACAAUGGCGCAUACAAAGAGAAGCGACCUCGCGAGAGCAAGCGGACCUCAUAAAGUGCGUCGUAGUCCGGAUUGGAGUCUGCAACUCGACUCCAUGAAGUCGGAAUCGCUAGUAAUCGUGGAUCAGAAUGCCACGGUGAAUACGUUCCCGGGCCUUGUACACACCGCCCGUCACACCAUGGGAGUGGGUUGCAAAAGAAGUAGGUAGCUUAACCUUAGGGAGGGCGCUUACCACUUUGUGAUUCAUGACUGGGGUGAAGUCGUAACAAGGUAACCGUAGGGGAACCUGCGGUUGGAUCACCU
rnacentral:rRNA from 1 species